rnacentral:rRNA from 1 species
UACGUAGGGUGCGAGCGUUAAUCGGAAUACUGGGCGUAAAGCGUGCGCAGGCGGUGAUGUAAGACAGGUGUGAAAUCCCCGGGCUUAACCUGGGAACUGCAUUUGUGACUGCAUCGCUGGAGUGCGGCAGAGGGAUGGAAUUCCGCGUGUAGCAGUGAAAUGCGUAGAUAUGCGGAGGAACACCGAUGGCGAAGGCAAUCCCCUGGGCCUGCACUGACGCUCAUGCCACGAAAGCGUGGGGAGCGAAACAAGG